rnacentral:lncRNA from 10 species
CGGAGUCUCACUGUGUUGCCCAGGCUGGAGUGCAAUGGCAUGACCUUGGCUCACCGUGACCUCCGCCUCCCGGGUUCAAGUGAUUCUCCUGCCUCAGCCUCCUGAGUAUCUGAGAUUAUAGGCGCCCACCACCCCACCCGGCUAAUUUUUGUAUUUUCAGUAGAGAUGACGUUUCACCAUGUUGGCCAGGCUGGUCUUGAACACCUGACCUCAAGUGAUCUGCUCGCCUCAGCCUCCCAUCGUGCUGGGAUUACAGGCAUGAGCCACCAUGUCCAGCAAAAAAUACCAAUUUUUUUUUUUUUUUUUUUGAGACAGAGUCUUCCUGUCGCCCAGGCUGGAGUGCAGUGUCACAAUCUGGCUCACUGCAACCUCCGCUUCCAGGGUUCAAGCAAUUCUCCUGCCUCAGCCUCCUGAGUAGCUGGGAUUACAGGCACCCUCCACCAUGCCCGGCUAAUUUUUGUAUUUUUAGUAGAGAUGGGGCUUCACCAUGUUGGCCAGGCUGGUCUUAAACUCCUGACCUCAGGUGAUCCGCCCACCUCGGCCACCCAAAGUGCUGGGAUUAUAGGCACGAGCCACCAUGCCUGGCCAAAAACACCUAUUCUAUUCUUAAAAUUAUCUCGAACCUCAGUUCCUGUGGAAAAGAAGUUUUUUGGGUUUUUUGUUUUGUUUUUUGAGACAGCAUCUCACUUUGUCACCCAGGCUACAGUGCAGUGGCAAGAUCAUGGCUCACUACAGUCUCGACUUCCUGGGCUCAAGCAAUCCUCAUACCUCAGCCUCCUGAGUAGCUGAAACUACAGGCACAUGCCACUAUACUCAGUUAAUUCUUAAGAUUUUGUAGAGACAGGGUCUGACUAUGUUGUCAGGCUGGUUUGGAACUCCUGGACUCAAGCAAUCCAUCCGAUUCAGCCUCCCGAAGUGUUAGGAUUACAGGUGUGGGCCACCAUACGUGGCCAAGAAGCUUCUUUUAAUGCUGACAAAUUAAGGUCAUUUCCCAACUAAGAUACUAAAGUGAAGAGAUUCUUUUCUUUCGUGGAGGGGGUACAGAAUCUUCCUCUGCCACCCAGGCUGGAGUGCAGUGAUACAAUCUUGACUCAACUGCAACCUCUGCCUCCUGGGUUAACGUAAUUCUGCUGCCUCAGCCUCCCGAGUAGCUAGGAUUACACCAGCUACUCAACACCACGCCCAGCUAAUUUUUGUAUUUUUAGUAGAGACGGGGUUUUACCAUGUUGGCCAUGCUAGUCUCGAAUGCCUGAUCUCAAGUGAUCCGCCCGCCUCAGCCUCCCAAAGUGCUGGGAUUACACGCAUGAGCAACCAUACCAGGCUGAGAUUCUUCUUGUUUGGAGGCUGGGGUACUCUCCA